GCCUACGGACGGCAGCAGUAGGGAAUAUUGCUCAAUGGGGGAAACCCUGAAGCAGCAACGCCGCGUGGAGGAUGAAGGUUUUCGGAUUGUAAACUCCUUUUGUUAGAGAAGAUAAUGACGGUAUCUAACGAAUAAGCACCGGCUAACUCCGUGCCAGCAGCCGCGGUAAUACGGAGGGUGCAAGCGUUACUCGGAAUCACUGGGCGUAAAGAGCGCGAAGGCGGGCUAGCAAGUCAAAUGUGAAAUCCUAUGGCUUAACCAUCGAACUGCAUAUACAAC
rnacentral:rRNA from 1 species